GGCUGAUUAGUUUAAUAAGAAUAAAUAAUUUCCAAUUAUUAGGUGAUACAGUCA
rnacentral:tRNA from 1 species